rnacentral:tRNA from 1 species
AAGGGAAAGGUGUUUCCUAAAAGAAGCUGCUAACUAUCUUUUAAAGCGGUUAAAUUCCGUUUCUCCCUUA